ACCUUGAAAGGGUGCUGUUGGAUUGCACUCAGACUGAGGUUCACUGCCCUGUUAUUGUUUAUAUUUUGGAGAAUGGCAACCUAAAUAUCAUGCCGAAUUAACCUCAAGAGCUUUAUGUUUGUGCAAAAACCAUUUCCAUACAGGAGAAGCUCCCUGAAAUCCUUCAAAACUGAAGAAAAUUUGAAAAUAUAUAUAUUUUAAAGGGAGUUUGGGUGGUACGAGGAGCAUCUAUGUCUUCUAAGUGGAUUUACUGACUGACAGUGGACAUAAUACAACCUCAGAGAGAGGAUUUGCAUGGAGAGGUGAGGCCCGAAGACAAGGCAACGGCUGCACCCAGGGGGCUCUCUCAUUAUCCCCGGAUUAAUGGAGAGCCGAGAAGGCCAAGGAUGCUGCUGCAUGGUUUGUUUUUCUCUACCUGCUCUUCACUAAAAGAACAUC